AUCCUGGCUCAGGAUGAACGCUAGCGGCAGGCUUAACACAUGCAAGUCGAGGGGCAUCGGGAGUAGCAAUACUGCCGGCGACCGGCGCAAGGGUGCGUAACGCGUGAGCAACAUGCCCGUAUCAGGGGGGAUAAUCCAUGGAAACGUGGUCUAAUACCCCAUAGUAAUUAUGUAAGGCAUCUUAUAUAAUUUAAAGCUUUGGUGGAUACGGAUUGGCUCGCGUGACAUUAGCUGGAUGGUAAGGUAACGGCUUACCAUGGCUACGAUGUCUAGGGGUUCUGAGAGGAAGGUCCCCCACACUGGAACUGAGACACGGUCCAGACUCCUACGGGAGGCAGCAGUGAGGAAUAUUGGACAAUGGAUGGAAAUCUGAUCCAGCCAUGCCGCGUGCAAGGAAGACGGCCCUAUGGGUUGUAAACUGCUUUUGUAUGGGAGCAAUAAGGGCUACGUGUAGUCCGAUGAGAGUACCAUACGAAUAAGCACCGGCUAACUCCGUGCCAGCAGCCGC
rnacentral:rRNA from 1 species